GGGUUUUCCCAUAGAAGCAGCGCGCUCAUAACGGUCUGGUUGCAGGUUCGAGUCCUGCCGGGCCCACCA
rnacentral:tRNA from 1 species